rnacentral:rRNA from 1 species
CCUACGGGUGGCUGCAGUGGGGAAUAUUGGACAAUGGGCGAAAGCCUGAUCCAGCCAUGCCGCGUGUGUGAAGAAGGCCUUCGGGUUGUAAAGCACUUUCAGUGGGGAAGAAAGCCUUGGGGCUAAUACCCUCGAGGAAGGACAUCACCCACAGAAGAAGCACCGGCUAACUCCGUGCCAGCAGCCGCGGUAAUACGGAGGGUGCGAGCGUUAAUCGGAAUUACUGGGCGUAAAGCGCGCGUAGGCGGUCUGAUAAGCCGGUUGUGAAAGCCCCGGGCUCAACCUGGGAACGGCAUCCGGACCUGUCAGGCUAGAGUGCAGGAGAGGAAGGUAGAAUUCCCGGUGUAGCGGUGAAAUGCGUAGAGAUCGGGAGGAAUACCAGUGGCGAAGGCGGCCUUCUGGACUGACACUGACGCUGAGGUGCGAAAGCGUGGGUAGCAAACAGGAUUAGAUACCCUAGUAGUC